AGCAUGUGGAUUAAUUCGAUGCAACGCGAAGAACCUUACCUGGGUUUGACAUACACCGGAAAACCGUAGAGAUACGGUCCCCCUUGUGGUCGGUGGUACAGGUGGUGCAUGGCUGUCGUCAGCUCGUGUCGUGAGAUGUUGGGUUAAGUCCCGCAACGAGCGCAACCCUUGUCUUAUGUUGCCAGCACGUGAUGGUGGGGACUCGUAAGAGACUGCCGGGGUCAACUCGGAGGAAGGUGGGGACGACGUCAAGUCAUCAUGCCCCUUAUGUCCAGGGCUUCACACAUGCUACAAUGGCCAGUACAGAGGGCUGCGAGACCGUGAGGUGGAGCGAAUCCCUUAAAGCUGGUCUCAGUUCGGAUCGGGGUCUGCAACUCGACCCCGUGAAGUCGGAGUCGCUAGUAAUCGCAGAUCAGCAACGCUGCGGUGAAUACGUUCCCGGGCCUU
rnacentral:rRNA from 1 species